rnacentral:rRNA from 1 species
UUGAUCCUGGCUCAGAUUGAACGCUGGCGGCAGGCCUAACACAUGCAAGUCGAACGGUAGCACAGAGGAGCUUGCUCCUUGGGUGACGAGUGGCGGACGGGUGAGUAAUGUCUGGGAAACUGCCCGAUGGAGGGGGAUAACUACUGGAAACGGUAGCUAAUACCGCAUAACGUCGCAAGACCAAAGAGGGGGACCUUCGGGCCUCUUGCCAUCGGAUGUGCCCAGAUGGGAUUAGCUAGUAGGUGGGGUAACGGCUCACCUAGGCGACGAUCCCUAGCUGGUCUGAGAGGAUGACCAGCCACACUGGAACUGAGACACGGUCCAGACUCCUACGGGAGGCAGCAGUGGGGAAUAUUGCACAAUGGGCGCAAGCCUGAUGCAGCCAUGCCGCGUGUAUGAAGAAGGCCUUCGGGUUGUAAAGUACUUCAGCGAGGAGGAAGGUGUUGUGGUUAAUAACCGCAGCAAUUGACGUACUCGCAGAAGAAGCACCGCUAACUCCG